rnacentral:lncRNA from 1 species
AGCAGGGGGUGACAGUACCCACAGGGACACUCGCCAACGUCUGGGUACAAUUUUGGUUGUCACAGCUGAGGGUUGCUGCUGGCACCCCAUGGGUCGAGGCCAGGAUGCUGAUCAGCAUCUCACUGUGCCCAGCGCAGCCCCACCGCAGAGAAUGACCCGGCUCCCGUGUCUACAGGGCCGGGGAGGAGAGGGCCUGAUGUUGCUCAGGGAGUAGCUGAGGCUGGGAGGACGCGGGCCUUGUCACCUGCACUCCAGCUCUACAGGAAAACGCCUCCUUCGACUGGGACCUUCUGCAGUGGAAAAGCCCCAUUUUUAAUUUUCUUGAGCUGCGGCUAGUGGUGCACGAUGUGGCCAGCGGGCCUUUGGGUGAGUUUUGGAAAUGGAAAGGCUCAUGGCUAGGCUCUGGGCCCCGACUUUGCCUUAUCUCUGUGGAGCAGUCUUGUGCCUGCAUCCCUACCCACUGGUCUGUCACCGCGGAGGUAGGCACUUGCCGCUGGGAGCUGUCCCUUGAGGGCUUGGCCCCACACGGGUGCCUUCCAGCUUUCCGUGGGAUCUAUGGGUGGGCACAGCACAAAAGGGCCAGGUGGGCUCCACUGUAUUGGCCAACUUCUGCCUUUCCAGGUGGCGCUGGGGUCUGGGCGCUGCGGCAGUGAGGAACAGAUGUUGGAGCAGGAGAGAUGGAUAAGUAGAGUCCAGUCUGCGUGUUCAAGGAAGUGAAGGGGCGAAGACUCGCCUGGUGCUGCCCACGCAGUGCCUGGCUCUUGCCACGUCUGCCCUGCAUGCACGUUUCUGCCAUGCGCCACGUGGAAGCAAAGGAUAGAGGUCAGCAUUCACGGGGGCAGACACAGAUGGCCCAGGCUACAGGUCCCAGCUGCCCAUCAGAGAAUGCAGCUUGGAAAGUACACGCUGAUGUGGCGGCUGAGAACCAACGCCCCUUUGACCAUGUGGUCGGACCUCUCUCGGAAGAAGAGAAACUGAGAUUUAGAGGAAUCCUUUGGGAAAACGAAACUGAAAUCUUACUCCCCCCCCGGCAGCCUCCUGGUGGCCACAGGAUAUGGACUUGGCCUUGGUUAAUGGCAUGUCAGUGGCUUCCACUGCAUGAUGCUUUUGGGGCUCAGCUCUGCCAAGGCAUAAUUGUGUACAAUAAAACCC